UACGGGGGGUGCGAGCGUUGUCCGGAAUUAUUGGGCGUAAAGGGCUCGUAGGCGGUUUGUCGCGUCGGGAGUGAAAUCCACUGGCUUAACUGGUGGCUUGCUUUCGAUACGGGCAGACUUGAGAGCCAGAGAGGGACACGGAAUUCCGGGUGGAGUGGUGAAAUGCGUAGAGAUCCGGAGGAACACCGAAAGCGAAGGCAGUGUCCUGGCUGGUGACUGACGCUGAGGUGCGAAAGCUAGGGGAGCGAACGGG
rnacentral:rRNA from 1 species